rnacentral:rRNA from 1 species
AGAGCGAACGCUGGCGGCAGGCUUAACACAUGCAAGUCGAGCGGGCGUAGCAAUACGUCAGCGGCAGACGGGUGAGUAACGCGUGGGAACAUACCUUUUGGUUCGGAACAACUCAGGGAAACUUGAGCUAAUGCCGUAUACGCCCUUACGGGGAAAGAUUUAUCGCCGAAAGAUUAGCCCGCGUCUGAUUAGCUAGUUGGUGAGGUAAUGGCUCACCAAGGCUUCGAUCAGUAGCUGGUUUGAGAGAACGACCAGCCACACUGGGACUGAGACACGGCCCAGACUCCUACGGGAGGCAGCAGUGGGGAAUCUUGGACAAUGGGGGAAACCCUGGAUCCAGCGAUGCCGCGUGAGUGAUGAAGGCCUUCGGGUUGUAAAACUCUUUCGACGGGGACGAUAAUGACGGUACCCGUAGAAGAAGCUCCGGCUAACUUCGUGCCAGCAGCCGC